rnacentral:lncRNA from 1 species
AUGGUGCAACUAGCCCUUUGGAGUUCUGACUCACUAACUUUCAGUUUUUCUCCAACAAAAUCCAUGGGCAGGGGUCAUCUACUCUGGCCACUCUUUUUUUUUUUACCCAGUUUUGGUCUGCUGCCUCCCCUUCUCAGACUCCAAGCUAUUCAUUUCCAUCUUUCUCCUCAACUCCUGAAAAUUAAUUACUCUCCCUCCUUCUUUCCCCCACCCCAACUCCAAACCUUUUUGGCAAAUCUUUGUAGUAAACAGAUGGGCUAUCUGUGUUGCUGGGAGACCACUUGAUACAUGGAACCCAGUCCAAAUGGAGUGAGAAGGAAGGUGACGUAUCACCUACAGGGUGGAAUGCCUCAGAGUGCUAAAGACUCCUCCUCCUCUUUUUUUUUUGAACUGAAAAAAAUUUUGGCCCCCUAGGGGUCUAACCUGUGGCCCAUGGUGGUGGAAGGGCCGAGUCUUAAACCCUGGGCUAUCAGGCAAGUCUCCUUUUCUAUUUUGAAUUAAACUCUGGCUUCAUUCUCCAUACUCCCCUCAUGGGUCUCAGUUUCAUCUCUAAAAUGAGAACAAUAGUAGUUACUACUGCUAACUACUACUAAUAGUAACUAUUACUACUAACCCAUGGGCGUUUUGUGAAUAUUUAAUGAAAUAAUGUUUAUCAGGCCCAUAACACAACUUCUGAGAACUCAGCUGUUUUCUUGUUGUUACUAUCGGUGGCAGGCUCAGGACACUAAGGGAGGAAGAGUGUAUGCGGUGAGAUGGGGAGCACUCAGUCCUAUUUAUGAUGGAUUUGGGGGGCUUAAUUUGAGGACUGUAUUUUAGGCAGAGGAUCUCAGUUGAAACAGCAUGAGUUUCACAGAAACUUGAAUUCCAAUCCCUGUUUAGCAUCUCAUGAGCUAUGUUACCUUGUAUAAUUCAGCCUGACGAAAUCGAUUUUCUACUUUUUUUCUCUUUUUUUCUACUUCAAAAUUACAGGCGUAGUAAUUUGCUCCAGACCUGACACAGUGGCUACGGGAUUCCCUGCCCGGCAUACUGCCCCAUAUUUUUAUAAUUCAUGCAUUUCCAGUCUCCCCGCCAGCCCCCUUCGCCUUGACCUGGCCCCCCGCUUAUCCCUGAGGGAAUGGGCAGUAUUCACCCUGUUCUUGCAUCUCUCCCACCACCUGGCACUGCUGGGCCACGCGAAGAACA